UUAUAAUAUAACCAUGAAUGAAUAAGAUCGAGAAAAAUGACUUACUCAUAGUCGAGUGGUUAGAAAACUUAUCAAAAAUUAUUGUACGUUAAAAUACUUCAAUUUACGAUAACAAAAAAAUUUGUUUACUUUUUACAAGAAAAACAAGUACGGUUUGAUGCACUUGUUUUUACAUAUCGCGUUAAAUAGGAAAGAAAAAUCUAGAUGUUUAUUUGCUACUAUUCCGCCAUAAUAACGUAGUCGGUUACUUCUGGACAUCAAAUACUUUCUAAUCAACAAGCGAAUAAAAACACUGAAAUUGAAACGAGAAACGAGAACGGAGGAAAAAACUAAAAUAUGCCUCCUCACUGCAUUGUUGGACUUCGAAGACUGAAACAUUCGCCGCCUUACUACGUUAACAAUGAUUGUACUUCUUUUAAUCGCAAAUUGUUCUUAUUUUGCCUAUAAAAUUAAUAACAAUUAAUUAGAAUAUUCGCUUUUUAAAUUAAGAAAUUGUAUAUAACAAAAUGAAAUAUAUUAAAUAAAUAAUAUUUUUAUUAAUGUAA